rnacentral:rRNA from 1 species
GACGAACGCUGGCGGCGUGCCUAACACAUGCAAGUCGAGCGGAGAUUACAGCAAUGUAAUCUUAGCGGCGGACGGGUGAGUAACGCGUGGGCAACCUGCCUUUUACUGGGGGAUAACACAGGGGAAACUUGUGCUAAUACCGCAUAACAUCAUGAGAGGACAUCCUUUUAUGAUCAAAGGAGCAAUCCGGUAGAAGAUGGGGCCCGCGUCCGAUUAGCUAGUUGGUGGUGUAACGGACCACCAAGGCGACGAUCGGUAGCCGAACUGAGAGGUUGAUCGGCCACAUUGGGACUGAGACACGGCCCAGACUCCUACGGGAGGCAG